GGAGUCACAGGCGCGCCUCCGCCUCCAGGGACUCUCCCGGGAGAGACCCGGGCGCUCCGGGCCUCGAGGAAGUGGCGGUUUCUGCUCUCACCUUCUGCUCUGCCUGCUUUGCCUGAGUUUGGGGACUCCACAAAUGGAAGAUUUGGAGACAAAAGUAUUUAGAAAAGAAGUCUACUUGAAAAAGAUCUGUUAAGAAUCUCCACGGGCUAAAAGGAUUAGAUCAUCAAAAAAAUAUACAUGUAUCUAAAGGAUUCCUGCAGACUAACCUGAGAAGCCUUCCCGCCAAAGAGGAUCUACGCCUGCUUUUGCCAAACAGAUGGGGAAGCUCCCUCUUGUCCAUACAGUUCACCUUGGAAUUAUUCAGAGUUUUUUUUGGGUGGGAAAACAUGGACUUACACCCAACGCUGCUCAUAAAUGGAAGAGCCUUGGUCCCUACCCCACAGGUGGUCCUGAGGAUGGAACAGCUCCCUGGACACAAGAAGCGGGAGGAUGCUGAUUCCCUUUAGGAUGGACUGCUUGGAUCUCCUUGCAGUCCAGGGGACUCUCAAGAGUCUUCUCCAACACCACAGUUCAAAAGCUUCAAUUCUUCGGGCGAUUGGAAAAUGCCACCCACCUCAAGAUAUGUUGACAUUUUAGUCCCUUGAACCUGUGAGUGAGACCAUGUUUGGUAAAAGGAUUUUGAAGGUGUAAGUUCAGCAUCUUGAGAGGAGACCGUCAUCCUGGAUCAUCCAGUUCAGUUCAGUUCAGUUGCUCAGUUGUGUCCGACUCUUUGCGACCCCAUGGACUGCAGCACACCAGGCCUCCCUGUCCAUCACCAACUCCCAGAGUUUACCCAAACUCAUGUCCAUCGAGUUGGUGAUGCCAUCCAACCAUCUCAUCUUCUGUCGUCCCCUUCUCCUCCUGCCUUCAAUCUUUCCCAGCACCAGGGUCUUUUCAAAUGAGUCGGCUCUUCGCAUCAGGUGGCUAAAGUAUUGGAGUUUCAGCUUCAACAUCAGUCCUACCAAUGAACACUCAGGACUGAUCUCCUUUAGGAUGGACUGGUUGGAUCUCCUUGCAGUCCAAGGGACUCUCAAGAGUCUUCUCCAACACCACAGUUCAAAAGCAUCAAUUCUUCGGUGCUCAGCUUUCUUUACAGUCCAACUUUCACAUCCAUACAUGACUAGUAGAAAAACCAUAGCCUUGACUAGACGGACCUUUGUUGGCAAAGUAAUCUCUGCUUUUUAAUAUGCUGUCUAGGUCAUAACUUUCCUUCCAAGGAGUAAGUGUCUUUUAAUUUCAUGGCUGCAGUCACCAUCUGCAGUGAUUAUCCAGGUGGGCCCUAAAUGCCAUCACGAGGGUCCUUAAGGGACAGAGGCAGAGGGGGCAGGCAGAUGCACAGAGGGAGCAACGACGGGAAGAUGGGGGCAGAGACGGAGGGAUGCGUCCACAAGCCAAGGAGGCCGAGGAGGGCCUGUCCACCCCCAGAGGCUCGAAGAGGAGAGGAGAGCUUCUCCCCCGGGAUCCUGGGAGGGAGCACAGCCCUGCCAGGGCCUUGACCUCUGACCUCUGUCCUCCAGAACUAUGAGCGAAUAAAUUUUGGUUGUUUGAAGCC
ensembl:lncRNA